UACAGAGGGGGCGAGCGUUGUUCGGAAUUACUGGGCGUAAAGGGCGCGUAGGCGGCCUUCUAAGUCGAACGUGAAAUCCCCGGGCUCAACCCGGGAACUGCGUCCGAUACUGGGAGGCUUGAAUCCGGGAGAGGGAUGUGGAAUUCCAGGUGUAGCGGUGAAAUGCGUAGAUAUCUGGAGGAACACCGGUGGCGAAGGCGGCAUCCCGGACCGGUAUUGACGCUGAGGCGCGAAAGCCAGGGGAGCGAACGGG
rnacentral:rRNA from 1 species